AAAAAACUCACUACGAGAAGAACAACACAAGAUAAUAAAUAACAUUGAAAAUCUAGAAUUAGAUAUAUAUUAUAGUACAGAUAGGAUAAAUUAUUAUACAAGAAUUUGUAACUCUGUAAUUACUACAGGAUAAAAUAAUUAAUGAAUAUAUCUUACGAAAAAAGUAAAUUAUUAAAAGAUAUUAAAAUAAAAUAUCCACGCACUAAUAAAAAUAGAUUCACUAGAAACCUACUAAAUCUAUUUAAUCUACCUAAUCCGCGCACCCCCC
rnacentral:lncRNA from 1 species